GCCAGUGUGGUGUGGUGGUUUGAGUGUUGGCCUACAAUUCUGGAGACCAGGGUUCGAUUCCCAGUUCAGCCA